rnacentral:rRNA from 1 species
AGGGCACCACCAGGAGUGGAGCCUGCGGCUUAAUUUGACUCAACACGGGAAAACUCACCCGGCCCGGACACUGGAAGGAUUGACAGAUUGAGAGCUCUUUCUUGAUUCAGUGGGUGGUGGUGCAUGGCCGUUCUUAGCUGGUGGAGUGAUUUGUCUGGUUAAUUCCGAUAACGAACGAGACUCUAGCCUAUUAAAUAGAUCGUUGGCUUACAAACGCCGGCGAGACUUCUUAGAGGGACAGGCGGCGAUUCAGCCGCACGAAACAGAGCAAUAACAGGUCUGUGAUGCCCUUAGAUGUCCGGGGCCGCACGCGCGCUACACUGAAGUGAUCAGCGUGCAUUUUGAAACCUACUCUGUCAAGAGUGGGGAACCCAAUGAACCUUCUUCGUGAUUGGGAUAGGGGAUUGUAAUUAUUCCCCUUGAACGAGGAAUUCCCAGUAAGCGCGAAUCAUAAGUUUGCGCUGAUUACGUCCCUGCCCUUUGUACACACCGCCCGUCGCUACUACCGAUUGAAUGUUU